GUCUACGGCCAUACCACGUUGAAAGCACCAGUUCUCGUCCGAUCACUGAAGUUCAGCAGCGUCGGGCUCGGUUAGUACUUGGAUGGGUGACCGCCUGUGAAAACCGAGUGCUGUAGAAG
rnacentral:rRNA from 1 species